UUUCCGUAGGUGAACCUGCGGAAGGAUCAUUAACAAAUCUAUUGGGUGCAGCAUUCCUCGCGACUGCAUGCUCACAUAAGCCCUAAAGCGCAGCACUUCGGUGUGACCGCUAUAGUGUGUUUGGAGGAGUCGAUUUUUUCGAUUCCGCCACAGGUCAUUCUUCUGGGUAACCACAUUGACGCUUGUAUGUUUGACAGAUUUUAUUAUGAAAAUAAAAAAAGACAACUUUUAACAAUGGAUCUCUUGGCUCUC
rnacentral:misc_RNA from 1 species